rnacentral:lncRNA from 1 species
UGAGAGAGAACUAUAAAAUAGAUGAUAAGUUUUUCUUGCUGUGACAAAGAGUAAAGGCUUGAUCUACAAUUGAUCUCCCAGGUGAGGAAAGUCUCUCUACCAAUAAAUCUUAUAGUCCUACAGAGCUGCCUAGAGCACUGGGGAGUUUAAGGAUUUACCGAUGAUCACCUAGUCAGGACAUGAUCCCAGGUAUUUCAGGCUCUCUAUCCCUUGCCCCACAGUGCUUUUCAUCAGUUCUAAAGACUACUGAAAAUGUAAUUUUCUUUCUUUUUUUGUGUGUUAUAUUUUCUAUUACCAUGUCUUUCUUGACCAGAAGAUCACAUCCUCGUUACAGAGAUAGAAGAUGGGAAGAGAGAAGCUGGGAGACUGGCUCUUCUCACCUUAGAGCCAGAGAAGCAGAAUUGGAAGCAACAGGAUUCCUAAUGAAAGUAGAUGGGGACACUGAGGUCAAGUGGUCACAGAAUCAUACAAAUUCACAGAAUCUAAAAGGAAAGGACCUACCUGUACAAAAAUAUGUAUAGCUGCUCUUUUUGUGUUGUCAAAGAACUGGAAGUUGAGGGGAUGUCCAUCAACUGGGAAUGGCUGAACAAUUUGUGGUAUAUGAUGGUGAUGGAUACUUCUGGGCUAUAAGAAAUGAUAAGCAGGAUGAUUUCAGAAAAAUCUGGAAAGAUCUACAUGAACUGAUACAGAGUGAAAUAAGCAGAACCAGGAGAACAUUGUACACAAUGAUAGCAACAUUAACAAUGAUCAACUGUGAAAACUUGGCUCAUCUCAGCAAUGCAAUGAUCUGGGAUGAUCUUGAAAGACCUAAGAUGGGGAAUGCAAUCCAUCACUAAAGAAAGAACUGUUAGAAUUAGAUGCAGAUCAAAGCAUAUUAUCUUUCCACAUUAGUGUAUGGUUUUAUUUUGAGGUUUUGGUUAUAUAUGUGUGUGCUCUUUCAAUAAUGACCAUUAUGGAAAUGUACUUUGCACAAUAAUAAAAAUUAUCUAAUAUAUAAUAUGAUACUAUUA